CCCGCCGAAACCGGGAUAGGGUGAGGGCGGCGCGCGGCGUUCCCGCUCUCCCGGGGCAGCGGGCGGGACGCUCUGCAGCCGCAGCCCCGCGUGCCCUCGCCCACCACAGCGCGGGGCGGAUGGGGGCUGUCCGCCUCCACGAUCCUUUUAGCACUUUUCACAGAGACGCGGCCGCGUUCCGCAGUGGCGAAUCUGCGGCGGAGGGCGGCGUCGUGCGGCUCCUGUUGGUGCCUCGCGCCCGCGCCAUUUUGCGCCCUGUUCUCCUGAGGCGGAGCUGUGAGGGCAGCGAGGCGGCGGCGGUGGCGGAGCUGCGCCGCGGGUCCGGGCCCGAGUAAAUCCCGUAAAUAAAUCCCACAACGGAGCGAGAUAAAGGCAGCGGGGCUGCCUGGGUUGUUCGUGGUGACUGAGAAUGGCGGCUGUGAGAGGAGAGAUUAAGGAGAGGUGUGAAGUCAGCCCGGCCGUGGCCAACAGGAGGGCCGAAUCAUGGCGGUGAUGGGCGCGGCGCAGGGCAGGGGGUGCUGCGAGGGGCCCUGAGGUGGAGGCAGAGCCUGCAGCACUAGGGCAUCUGUUACCACGGGAGCUGCCAGUGAGUGAGGCUUCAGGUGAAAUAAAGGUUGGGGACUGAAAAACGGUCCUAUGGCUGAAAAAUAAAGAUCCCUGUGCCUGAAAUGGACGGCUCUGGUGGACCUGGAGAACAUGGCAUCCAGAGGAGAAACAAACUGUGACUGCCCUUGGAAAGACACCAGAAAUAGUAUUUUUUAAACACAAAUAGACAGUGCCUAUAUAACCCCAGAGGGUGAUAGAAGAGGAAAAGAAGAAACUGGGUGUGAUGCUGAGCUGCUUCAGUGGGCCCAUUCCUUCUAGGUGCCUACAGCCUGGCCUGCUUUUUUUUGCUCUUAAGUAAGCACGCUUACAUGGACACAUAGAGAGCUGAGCUCCGCCCUGGCUGCUCACAGUGUGCUCUCUGCAGCCACAAUGGAUAUUUGUGGUAUUACAGCAGAAAAAUCUGGCUGCCAUUCCACAACAGAAGGAAUAUAACAAUUGAAAAGAUCCUCCAACAGCCAAAUCCUUUUGGUCUCCAGCUUCACCUGGGCAGAACAUUUCUAAGGAAAAUAUAAGAAAAUACUCUCAAGACAGACACACUGAAGCUCACAAACUCCGUUUUGUUAUUUUUAUUGUUGUACUGCUAUUUACUUUGGUGUAAGGGGAACACGUGGCUAUGACAUUGCUGCAACUCUAAGAACCAGAAAGAAGGCCGCCAUCCCCACCACCACCAAUGCCAAAUCCACCUCCAAGACCAGGAGCUGCGCCGCUGCCAAAGCCACCUCCAAAAAUGAUGCCUGAACCGCUCCCAAAACCGCUUCCGAAACCUCCACCAAAACCACUGCCUGAGCCGCUUCCAUAACCACCUCCUGAGCCACUAGCGAAGCCUCCGCCAAAGCCGCUGCCUACGCUGCUCCCAAAGCCCCCGCUGAAGCCAGAGCCAGAGCCAAGCACAGAAGCAGCACCGAACCCUCCGGCGGAUCC